AUAUUUACCUGGCAGGAGAGACACAUGAUCCCUAAGGUGGUUUUUCCAAGGGCAAGGCUUAUCCAUUGCACUCUGGAUGCAAUGUGGGAAACUCAACUGUAUAAUUUGUGGUAUUGAGGAUA
rnacentral:snRNA from 8 species